rnacentral:rRNA from 1 species
GAUGAACGCUGGCGGCGUGCCUAAUACAUGCAAGUCGAGCGAAUGGAUUAAGAGCUUGCUCUUAUGAAGUUAGCGGCGGACGGGUGAGUAACACGUGGGUAACCUGCCCAUAAGACUGGGAUAACUCCGGGAAACCGGGGCUAAUACCGGAUAACAUUUUGAACCGCAUGGUUCGAAAUUGAAAGGAGGCUUCGGCUGUAACUUAUGGAUGGACCCGCGUCGCAUUAGCUAGUUGGUGAGGUAACGGCUCACCAAGGCAACGAUGCGUAGCCGACCUGAGAGGGUGAUCGGCCACACUGGGACUGAGACACGGCCCAGACUCCUACGGGAGGCAGCAGUAGGGAAUCUUCCGCAAUGGACGAAAGUCUGACGGAGCAACGCCGCGUGAGUGAUGAAGGCUUUCGGGUCGUAAAACUCUGUUGUUAGGGAGGAACAAGUGCUAGUUGAAUAAGCUGACACCUUGACGGUACCUAACCAGAAAGCCACGGCUAACUACGUGCCAGCCGCCGCAGUAA